GCUGCCCCGCCGUUGGGCUGCUGUGACGCGCAUGCUCGUGGUCCAGCCUGUGCGCGUGCACGCGUGCGCGGAACAGCGGACCCUGUUCCCGGCAGCUGACGAGGACAGCGAGCUUUAUGAUCUCUCAUCCACCACGGUGUCACAUCACAUUUCCCAUGGAGCCAUGGGAAAAGGGCAGCUCCGCUCCACCCAGUGAGCGCAGCACAGUAAAGGCCGAGGAGAAAUCCGCCAGUGACGCGUACCUCCCGGAGGACGGCUGGCUGCCAGCCCAUGCCCGAUUACGCUGUGCGAUCUUGCUGUGUGACAGCAUGGCACGUUUCAGGUGGAGAACUAUUUUGGAUGUCAGCAUGGACAUCGUGCUUGCAGGAAUGUGACACUGGAACCAGAAGCGAUGCUCUGGGCAAACUGAGGAUUGCUGCAUUGUUUCGCACAUUGGAUUCCGACAUCAGCGUCCCACAUUCUACUGAGCGGCUCUCAAAGAUUCAACACAUGGAAGAAGAGAACAUUUGAAAGGCGAUGUGUUCAAAGCCUGUGGAUCCGGACUGAGCCCCCGGGCAGCCGUGUCCCAGUGGGCAAAGGGACACGCUGUAAAUACAAAGAGCGCGAGGGAGGGACAGAGGAAGAAGAAAAGGGGCAACCGGGAACAGCUCAGGGAGCACAGCGAAUACCUGUGCCUUUGUGAGCUGAAACAGAUUCCUUCUUUUCAGAGUAGAAGGCAGCCAGCAGGGACGAACCUCAGGCUGCUAUUUACCUUCCAGGGGGUGAAUGUGCAGGGUUUCUGCGAGAGCGCUAUCCAAGCACAUCAAGCUAAUCAUAAUGUCUGUUAAUUUAUUCACGUGCUUGCUGUAAAUGCCUAGGUUUGUGUUACUAAUUUUCUGUAAGUUAUAAAGUUAAUGAGGUUUGAAAUCUAAUUAGUGUAUUUUUAUUUGAACCAUGCUAAUUAGUAUAUAGUUUCCUUCAGCCUUACAAUAGUGUAAAGCUCUGUGUCAAGAUUUGUAUUAUUUUUAUUUACAUUAAUAAGCUUCUUCUUAUGCAUCUAGUGUUUGCAGACAGGCAAUUUUUACUUUUGAUUGGUGGGUACUUUGGUUUAAAUGAAUGGCACUGGCAGCUUAGCUGGUUAGUUUGCUAGUUUAUAUUUUUACAUUAAAGCCCCUACUGUAUGUUUAA